rnacentral:rRNA from 1 species
UACGGUAGGUGGCAAGCGUUGUCCGGAUUUAUUGGGCGUAAAGAGCGCGCAGGCGGUUCGUUAAGUCCGAGGUGAAAUCUCCCCGGCUCAACUGGGAGGGGUCGUUCGGAUACUGGCGGACUUAGGAGUGCAGAGGUGAGUUGGGAAUUCUCGGUGUAGGUGGAUGAAAUGCGUAGAUAUCGAGAGGAACACCAGCGGCGAAGGCGGCUCACUGGGCACCACCUGACGCUGAGGCGCGAAAGCGUGGGGAGCGAACCGG